rnacentral:rRNA from 1 species
CAGUAGCCGCGGGAAAACGGAGGGGGCUAGCGUUGUUCGGAAUUACUGGGCGUAAAGCGCACGUAGGCGGCUUGGUAAGUUAGAGGUGAAAGCCCGGAGCUCAACUCCGGAAUUGCCUUUAAGACUGCCGAGCUAGUAGGUGAGAGAGGUAAGUGGAAUUCCGAGUGUAGAGGUGAAAUUCGUAGAUAUUCGGAAGAACACCAGUGGCGAAGGCGGCUUACUGGCUCAUUCUAGACGCUGAGGUGCGAAAGCGUGGGGAGCAAACAGGAUUAGAGACCCGCGUAGUCCCUGUCUCUUAUAC